AUGAACCCCUCCUCGGCCUCAGGACCGGAUGGCUUGCCUGUAACGUUCUUCAAAACGUUCUGGCCGACCAUCAAGCCGGAGGUCAUGGCCCUGUUUGAGGAAUUCUACUCGGGCGCCAUGGAUCUUGGGUGUCUCAACUAUGGUAUCGUGACCCUCAUCCCCAAGGUCCCGGGCGCCUCCGACAUCCGCCAAUUUCGUCCAAUCACAGUGAUUAAUGUGAUAUUCCGGAUCCUGGCCAAAGGGUACACCAAUAGGAUGACCCUGCUCACUGACGCGAUUACCCAUCCCAACCAAUCCGCCUUC
rnacentral:rRNA from 1 species